rnacentral:lncRNA from 1 species
UUAGUUUCUAUGUCUGCAUUGUCAUGGUUUGCUAUAGCCUUUCCAACAAAUUGAUGGAAUACAGCAAGCAAAGGCACGAGAAUUUCUUUGGCUAUGAGCUCUAAUUGAGGUGGUACGGGCUCCUUUGCAAUUUUGGGAUUCAAAAAAAACUGAAAAGGUCUAAUAAGUGCAUGAAGAACAAUAAGUGCAUUGAUCGUAUUCCACUUGGAGUUUGAACCGUUGAUAAGAUGGCUAUUCUGAAUAGCAGAUUGCAGAUUAGGCACAAGAUCCGGCCACAGACUAUGUUUAACAAAAUCUGCCGCAGCAACAACCCGGAACACUUCAACUCAGAUCUUGAGUACAGGAAAUUCAACUUGAAGCAAAGCUUGCAUCAGUAGGUCCUUGAACUCCUUGCUGACAUUAGAAGGUGUGGCGCCGCUGCUAUCAACAUUCCGGCGCG